rnacentral:rRNA from 1 species
UUUUUGAAGGGUUUGAUCCUGGCUCAGAAUGAACGUUGGCGGCGUGGAUUAGGCAUGCAAGUCGAGCGCUCAUAGCAAUAUGGGAGCGGCGAACGGCGUAGUAAUGCAUCGGAACGUACCCUUCGGUCGGGGAUAGCCACGGGAAACUGUGGGUAAUACCCGAUGAUAUCUGCGGAUCAAAGGUGAGAUUCCGCCGGAGGAGCGGCUGAUGUGAUAUUAGCUUGAUGGUGGGGUAAUGGCCUACCAUGGCGAUGAUGUCUA